rnacentral:rRNA from 1 species
GUGUCAGCAGCCGCGGUAAUACGUAGGCAGCAAGCGUUGUUCGGAGUUACUGGGCGUAAAGGGUGUGUAGGCGGUUCUCUAAGUUUGGUGUGAAAUCUCCCGGCUCAACUGGGAGGGUGCGCCGAAAACUGGGGGGCUAGAGUACUGGAUGGGAGAGUGGAAUUCCUGGUGUAGCGGUGAAAUGCGUAGAUAUCAGGAGGAACACCUGUGGUGUAGACGGCUCUCUGGACAGUAACUGACGCUGAGACACGAAAGCGUGGGUAGCAAACAGGAUUAGAAACCCCCGUAGUCC